rnacentral:rRNA from 1 species
AACGAACGCUGGCGGCGUGGAUAAGACAUGCAAGUCGAACGGGAUUUUUUUCUGUAGCAAUACAGAGAAAAGUCUAGUGGCGAACGGGUGCGUAACACGUGAGCAACCUGCCGUGAAGUGGGGGAUAGCUCGCCGAAAGGCGAAUUAAUACCGCAUGUGGCCAAGGAAGACAUCUUCCUGACGCCAAAGCCGGGGCAACCUGGCGCUUCUCGCGGGGCUCGCGGCCUAUCAGCUUGUUGGUGAGGUAACGGCUCACCAAGGCUAUGACGGGUAGCUGGUCUGAGAGGACGACCAGCCACACUGGAACUGAGACACGGUCCAGACACCUACGGGUGGCAGCAGUCGAGAAUUUUUCACAAUGGGGGAAACCCUGAUGGAGCGACGCCGCGUGGAGGAUGAAGGUUUUCGGAUUGUAAACUCCUGUCAUUAGAGAACAAGGCACACGGUUUAACUGGCCGUGUGUUGAUAGUAUCUGAAGAGGAAGAGACGGCUAACUCUGUGCCAGCCGCCGCUGUAA